UAGGGAAUCUUCCGCAAUGGGCGAAAGCUUGACGGAGCAACGCCGCGUGAGUGAUGAAGGUCUUCGGAUCGUAAAACUCUGUUAUUAGGGAAGAACAAAUGUGUAAGUAACUAUGCAAGUCUUGACGGUACCUAAUCAGAAAGCCACGGCUAACUACGUGCCAGCAGCCGCGGUAAGACGUAGGUGGCAAGCGUUAUCCGGAAUUAUUGGGCGUAAAGCGCGCGUAGGCGGUUUUUUAAGUCUGAUGUGAAAGCCCACGGCUCAACCGUGGAGGGUCAUUGGAAACUGGAAAACUUGAGUGCAGAAGAGGAAAGUGGAAUUCCAUGUGUAGCGGUGAAAUGCGCAGAGAUAUGGAGGAACACCAGUGGCGAAGGCGACUUUCUGGUCUGUAACUGACGCUGAUGUGCGAAAGCGUGGGGAUCAAACAGG
rnacentral:rRNA from 1 species